GGUACCCUAGUGUUUUGUUUUCCCGUUAGAAACAGAGAACAAAAAGAGGAAAUUGUCGAAAGUGAAGUUGUGGAAGAACUUGUAAAGGGCACAGUGACGUCACUAUCCUCACUGUUUCCGGUGCAAGAAGCACAUAAAGCAUCAAAGCGCAUGGAGGAAACUAUCUCGGAGCAGCAGAAGCAAUUGGACCAGCUCCGAGAUUUUGUGGUCGACAACAAUAGCCUUGUUAACCUUGUUCACUAGCUUCCCGACCAGCUACACCACGAUAUCAUGGAGAGAGUUAUUAUGCUCAAAGGGCAGCCAAGCAAACAAUUGAGUUAUUGAAUAGAAGAGGGAAUGCUUUGGAGUUACAAGUUGAAUAUGUAAAGGCUUUAAUGCAAGACCUUAAGAUCGAUGCCUCAUUUUUUGAUGCUACAGUUUCUGAGGCAACGGAAGUGAUUCCGGGUUAAAAAGACAAAUUCGAGCUUUGAAGUCUGAGUAAAAGCCUAAGGAAUUAAACUAGGAUCACAUUCGGGUGUCGAGGACCAAGUUUGGAUAUCAAAAGGUGCACGAAAAUAAUUACUUUGAGAAAUUUGCACCACCGCUCCACGUGGGGCAAUGCGAGGCACGACGCGUCAUGCAAUGUGCCUGCUCUGACAGAAAAGUGAGCUUUCUAAUAAUUCCCACCGGCGUGCCACAUAGUGCAUAAGUACUCCUCAUCUUCAGAAGGGACGAAGUUUAUGUCCUUAUCAUGUGAAAACUAUCCUCCCGCAGCUAGACCCAAUCAUUGUUGAGUAAAAGUAGAGAGGGGAUGAUUCUACUGCAGCUCAGCCAAGUCUGUCUCCCCUCUAUCAGCACGAAGACGUAUAUCAGCAAACAUUAGCUGCAGUGUCUCCUUGAUAUAAAGCAAUCUCUAGUCCGUAGUAACAACAACAACAACAUGAGGGUCUAUUACAGUCGUGACAUCAAAUGCCUUAAUAGGACAUGGCAUCAGAAUCAUCCAAUCAUGAUGAAACUCCUCUUCCACGUGGUGCAUCCAUAGCAUCCGAGUGAUCAUACUCGGGUAAUAUAAGCGGCGAGCCCCAAAUGAGUGCACUCGAGUCAUGUUCUACAGCAUGAUCUUGCCAAGAUCGAACCUCAUCCUGGUCAAGAAGGCAUAGAUAAGACACACCUUCAUCCUUGAGACAUUAGUGUCACUCUGGGUAGGCAUUAUUUUGGCAUUGAUCAGCCACAGAAGAACCCUGGCUGGACGCUGGAAUGUGCUCUUCUUCAUAUCUUUGUGGUACUCAUUAGCAUCCUGCGUCCAUGUGUCAGAAGAGUCAGCUCCAUAUAGUUGUCGUCGGAUAUCAGGAUAGUACGGGCGAUGAAGGAACCUCUGAAACAUCUUGUGAGAGUGCUCCAUGAAUCCCAUAAUCUAAUUGAUCACUUGGGAGGAGAAAUGAAUCACUUUACCUCGCACCCGCAACUCGUAUACAACAUCCAGACUGGCUCAGGCUGCCAGUUAGCAUAAAACUCCUUCACUAAGUUCACGUUCAAUGCAUCACCGGGACGGAACAAACUCUCAAAGCCCAGCGCCCGAAUGUUGUAAAUCUCAUUCUAUUUCCUUGAAAACGUUCCAUAAUCUAUAGCAACUUGGGAUCCAGGUUCAUAGAAGGGACAAACGUGUCUAGCGUGA